CCUACGGGAGGCUGCAGUGGGGAAUAUUGCACAAUGGGGGAAACCCUGAUGCAGCGACGCCGCGUGAGUGAAGAAGUAAUUCGUUACGUAAAGCUCUAUCAGCAGGGAAGAAAUACUGACCUUACGGUCAGCAGACGGUACCUGAGUAAGAAGCCCCUGCUAACUACGUGCCAGCAGCCGCGGGAAUACGUAGGGGGCAAGCGUUAUCCGGAUUUACUGGGUGUAAAGGGAGCGUAGACGGUGCUCCAAGUCUGGAGUGAAAUGCCGCAGCUUAACUGCGGAACUGCUUUGGAAACUGGCGAACUAGAGUGCGGGAGGGGUAAGCGGAAUUCCUAGUGUAGCGGUGAAAUGCGUAAAUAUUAGGAGGAACACCGGUGGCGAAGGCGGCUUACUGGACCGUAACUGACGUUGAGGCUCGAAAGCGUGGGGAGCAAACAGGAUUAGAUACCCGAGUAGUC
rnacentral:rRNA from 1 species